AAUGAACGCUGGCGGCGUGCCUAACACAUGCAAGUCGAGCGAGAAAGUGGCUUCGGCCAUGAGUACAGCGGCGAACGGGUGAGUAACACGUGGGUGACCUGCCCUCAGCUCUGGGAUAAGCCUGGGAAACUGGGUCUAAUACCGGAUAUGACUCCAUGACGCAUGUCGUGGGGUGGAAAGCCUUGUGCGGCUGGGGAUGGGCCCGCGGCCUAUCAGCUGUUGGUGGGGUGAUGGCCUACCAAGGCGACGACGGGUAGCCGGCCUGAGAGGGCGACCGGCCACACUGGGACUGAGACACGGCCCAGACUCCUACGGGAGGCAGCAGUGGGGAAUCUUGCGCAA
rnacentral:rRNA from 1 species